ACUGGAGAGAUACAUGGUCAAAUGUGGGAUGAGGGGACAUUUAGGACCUGCGUGCAAUGCUGUUGGGUAUGUUGAUAGAGAGGUCUGGGGGAUUAAUCAUCUGUAUCAAUCCCCUGUUUGGAGCCGCUUAAAGGCUUGCACUCUUAGUUCUCCAGUUUAUGAUGGCUGUACACAUCGAAACUCCAAUCCGGAACAUAGAGUGCAUAUGUUGUGAUCAUAUAGAUGAGAAAAGCAACAAACCCUCCAAUCCAUUGCCACUGGUAUGCCGUGAAAAU
rnacentral:misc_RNA from 1 species